rnacentral:rRNA from 1 species
CAGCCGCCGCGGUAAUACGUAGGGUGCGAGCGUUAAUCGGAAUUACUGGGCGUAAAGCGUGCGCAGGCGGUUUGUUAAGACAGUUGUGAAAUCCCCGGGCUCAACCUGGGAACUGCAUCUGUGACUGUAUAGCUAGAGUACGGUAGAGGGGGAUGGAAUUCCGCGUGUAGCAGUGAAAUGCGUAGAUAUGCGGAGGAACACCGAUGGCGAAGGCAAUCCCCUGGACCUGUACUGACGCUCAUGCACGAAAGCGUGGGGAGCAAACAGGAUUAGAUACCCGCGUAGUCCCUGUCUCUUAUAC